CAAUAGCGUAUAUUAAAGUUGUUGCGGUUAAAAAGCUCGUAGUUGGAUUUCUGUCGAGGGCGUCCGGUCCGCACUUCGUGCGUGUAUCUGGCUCGGCCUCGGCAUCCUCUCGAUAGACGUUUCGCGCUUCAUUGCGUGGAGCGGAUCUCGGGACUUUUACUUUGAGGAAAUUAGAGUGUUCACGGCAGGCUAUCGCCAGAAUACAUUAGCAUGGAAUAAUACUAUAGGAUCUCGUGUCUAUUUUGUUGGUUUCUAGAGACGAGUUAAUGAUUAAUAGGGACAAUUGGGGGCAUUCGUAUCAACACGUCAGAGGUGGAAUUCUUGGAUUGUGUUGCGACGAACUACUGCGAAAGCAUUUGCCAAGGAUGUUUUCAUUGAUCAAGAACGAAAGUAAGGGGAUCGAAGAUGAUCAGAUACCAU
rnacentral:rRNA from 1 species